ACGCGCACGCGGCCCUGAGCGAGGCGGGGCUGCUCCGGGGCUGGACAAGGAGGUGCUGGCGGAGUCCGGCUCGCAGCAGCCGCUGCUCCCCGGUGGUUCAGAGCCGCGCGAGCUGAGCGUUUCGCCUACAAAAGGAUCUUCGGAUCGGUUUCCCACUGCCGAAUGUUGCUUGAGCCAAUGUGACUGGCUCUAGGAGGAAAUAAAUCACAUCUGUCAAAAGAGCCUCGAGUCGAAGGAUAGGAGAAACCUCGAAUUUGGUGGGUGCUGACCAAGGCACCAUGCAAGGUGUUAACUUUGCUUUAGGGGGUGACCUGGCUGGCUGCUGCAGUUGCCGUUAACAGCCACCGUAUGGAUGAGACUCCAGAUCCACCUCCUCCUGCGUUCCUCAAAACAGGAAGAUGGAGAACUACAGCGAGCUACUUCCCAGAGGGGCCGAUGGCAAGCACUCCCUUCAAGGAAACUGGGGAAGUUGCCCGAUUUUGAUCGUUUCCAUCCAAACACCCACCAGACAAUAUAUACAAUACACAUUUCUAAAUUAACAGCAUUGGCAAAAACUGAAAAUACUUGUAUUUAAAGUUGAUGACAGUAUGAAAACAAGAAAUCCGUCCGGGCGCGGUGGGUCACGCCUGUAACCCCAGCACUGAUCACAAGGUCAGGAGUUCGAGACUAGCCUGGCUAACAUGGUGAAACCCCCUUCUCUACAAAAAUUGGCUGGGCGUGGUGGCGCGUGCCUGUAAUCCCAGCUACUUGGGAGGCUGAGGCAGGAGAAUAGCUUGAGCCCGGGAGGUGGAGGUUGCCGUGAGCAGAAAUGGCACCACUGCACUCCAGCCUGGGCGACAGAGUAAGACUCUGUCCCCGCCCCACCCCACCCAAAAAAAAGAAAAAAAAAAAAGGAAUCUUUUAUGUUGUUGAGAGGGAUGUUAAUUAGUACCUUUAUGGGGCAGUAAUGUAACACUAAAAUUUUUCGAUGAUUGUGCAAUAUUACUUCUGGGAACUUACCCUACAGAAAUACUAUAAAAAGUAAUAUGGACAAAAAUCUUCACCGUAUAAAUUGGGUAAAUGUCUUUUGGAAAACAAAUCAUGGCCUGGCCACACAAUGGUAUGAAAAGAUGCCCGUGUAAAGUGAAAAAAAGCAUCUUGUCGAACAAUCUGCGUAGUAUGACACCUUUAUUGUGAUAAAUGAUUCUGUGAAGGGAUGUCUGGAAGCACAUAACUGAACUAUUAACAGCAGUUACCUCUGGGAAAUAGGACAGGGAUUUCAGCUUUUAUUUUGGCCAUAGACACAUUAUUUUGAUUCUAAAUUCAUCAUUUAUUUACUAACUUAGCAUUACUAUUGAGUACCAAAUAUUUGCCAGGGUAUUGUUCCUGGAAUACAGUAAUAAUUCAGUUUAAAAAAAUAAAAUCUUUGGAGCUUACAUUCAAGUGGGAAAAAACAUGCAAAUAUAAACAACAAAGGUAAACCAUAUAUAGUAUGUUUAAAAGUACAAAAGAGAGCCGGGAGUACAAAAUACAGCAGGGAGAUGAGACAGGAAUGCCCCAGUAGCUGCAGCUUUAGAUAAGCCUCAGUGAGAAUGACACUUCAGGAAAGAAAUGAAGAGGCUAAAGAGCCUGAAUGAAGAACAUUUGGGUAUGGCAAAUAGUAAGUGCAAAGGCACUAAGGCCUGACCUGUUUUGGAGGCAGGGAGGACGGCAGGAGCGGGGUGAACACAGAGGUGAUGGGUCAGAGAAGGGAGGAAAGGGGUGCUUCAUGUUUUGCCCAGCAUUGAAGGCUAUUGUGGACUUUUGAGUGCCAUGGUCGUCUAUUGGAGAGUUCUGAGGGUUGGUGUGAUCUGACUUGGAUCUCAAGAACAACAUUCUGGAUUCAAUGUUGAAAACAAAUGGAAAAAAGGAGAGAGCAGGGGCAGAGGCAGCAAGCUCAGGAGAAACAGCGAUUAAGUAAACAAUGGGUUUACUUGUUCAGUUUUGAGACUUCUUUAUGUAAUCUAGAUGCAACUCAUUUAUCAGAAACGUUUUGCAAAUAUUUUCUGCCACUCUACAGCUUGUCUUUUUGUUCUCCUUAUGGUACCUUUCAAAGAGAAGUUCUCAAUUUUGAUAAAGUACAAUUUAUCGAUUUUUCCUUCAUGGAUUGUGCUUUUGGUGUUGGAUUUAAGAAAUCUUUUCCUAACCCAAGGCUGAACACGUUUUCCUUGUUGUCUUCUAGAAAUUAUACAGUUUUGGGGAACUAUAAUCCAUUUGGACUUUAAUCUUUGCCAGUGUUAAGAUAUGGAUCAAUUUGUUUUUAAUUUUGCAUCUGAUGCCCAAUUAUUCCAGCAUCAUUUUUUCAAGACCUUUGCACCUCUGUCAAAAAUCAGUUGUCCACAUACAUGUUGGGUUAUUUCUGGACUCUAUUCUGUUCCAUUAGACCAAUGCACAGCCAGCAGAAGGGACUGAUCCCAAAAACAUAUGAGUGAAUGAAGAGGAGUACUGGGUAUGAAGCUUCUCAUCUUUAGGUGUAUCCUAAAGAAGAGUUACUGAACAAACACAGAGAAGCAGAAAAACUCCGGCACUGUUAUGUAUGUGAAGAAAAGUUUCAAAAUGAUAACUAAACAAUGUAAAAUGAGGCAAAAAGGGGCCUCUACGUAGUGUUUACGUAUGAGUGGUCUUAGAGAAGUGUGUGACUAAGUAGAACUAGAUUGCAGAAGGCUGAAAGAGUAAUGGCAGGGGGACCUACAUAUACCAAACAGUCACUAAGGAAGUGGCUAGGCCAUCUCUCCCGGGUGAACCUUUCUCUGUGUUCCCCAUGGCAUUUUAUUCAUACCUCUGUAAUACAAUCUUUUGCUCAUGUUUCUGUUCCAUUCUGAGUUCCUUGAAGGGAGACAUCAUACCUCAUUCAACUACAGUACUAAAUACAGUGCUAGAAACAAAACAGACACCAAAAUAAAAACAUGGAGGAGGAGGGGAACGUUACCCUCUCAGCCCCUUGAUACGUUAGUUCUCCUUAUCACUACAUGUUUGCAACAAGAGUAGCUAUGAACUGUGGAGCAGAAGGGGGAAAUUAAUGGCCAGUUUCUGAACUUCACCAUGCAAUUUCCUUUGCUGAAAAAUUUCAACUUCACAGAUUAAAGAUGUCUGUGGUUCAAAUAGCAUUUCCUCUAUCACCCCUGCAUUUAAAGUAAAUAAAAAUGCACUUGUUUGGGGGAAAACAAUCAUGGAAAAAAUUCUGAACCUAUAAACAAAGAAAAAUUAGAAAUAGUCUGAAGCAAAAGAAUCUCCUCAGGGCACUCAGAAGGAAAAAAACAUCAUGCAAGUCUUUCCUUUUUAUCUGGGACAUAUGGUCAAGUAUGUACAAUGGAUUUGACUGGUUUUACUCUAAGUAUUCAGCUGAAAGACAACCUUAGUGAAACUGACUUUCUGAUCUCGUAGCAGACAUGCAGAAGUGGGCAGUAGCUUGCUAUUGCACAAAAUGUGGGGCCUUACUCUUCCCAGUGAGGAUGGUCUACAGUUCAAGUUAGGGAGACAGAAGGGGAGGGAUGUGUCCUCUGCAACUAUGCAUUUAAAUUUAUACAUAAAAGGGAGUCGCCACAGUCACAUUUAACUGGAGUUGUUUUUCCUUCCUAUUAUAUUAAAACAUCUGGAUUAUCUAUGCUGGCUAAUAAUGCAUAUUUCUGCAAUCUUAAAGCAAUCUUGCAAUAACACAAAAACAAACAAAAAAACUAGACUACAACUAACAUUCACUUUAUUCAGUUUUGUCCUCUCAACUUAGAAGGCAACAAAUGACCACAUAAAAAAGGGAGCAUUUCAGAAUAUAUAUACAUAAAAUUGGUCUGGGUACCCUAAGGUGUUUGCGUUGAUAGAAAAUUGACACCCCAAACUAAGUGUUCUACUUAGCUUCUACAAUAGUUAUUCCUAGACCUUAGUCAUUACAUUUUUAUUUAAGGUACUAUGUUACUUUCAUGACUACAAAAUGAGGCACUCAUACAAAACAGGAAUGAAAACAUACAUAUACUGUCUUAUCUUUAUGUUGUAUUAAUGCCAAAGAUAUUGUCAGGGAUUAUUUUAAAGAAGCCCUUACUCAUGAUGGCUAUUUUUAAAAAUGGCACAGGACAGUAACAGGCUGAAAACACCUGGUUGAGGGGACAGAUUAAGUAAAUACAAGACAGCUUAACCAAGGAAGUCAGCAAAUCUCCACAAAUGAGGCUUUUAAUAAUACUUUAGUGGUAAGACAUUUUAGUUGUUUUUUUUUUUUGAUGGCUGAAUAACAUCCUAAAGAAGUAUUUUAAAUAUAAUCUUUUAAUUUUACAAUGUAGAAAACUUCUCACAGUAAGUAGAGAGCUUAGAGUACUCAACCCUGAAAAUGAAAAUAAGUAGCUAGCUUGGAAAGUUUUAAAAAGCGCCAGUGUUCUUAUGGCACUACAUUCUCCUGCACGUGUGCAUGUGUUCACGCACAUUCGCAAACGCAAUACAAUGUAGAAAUGUCCAGUGUUUCUGUUUUGUUUUAAAGUCAUCAAUUCAACCUAAAUUCAAGAAUUACACUUUAAUAGUGGCAUUUUGCCAAUACAGAAAUGACGUAUCUUGGAUCAAAUCAUUUUAAGGAAAGUUAUUCUAUAUUACUUGAAUAAGGGAAAGAAAAUACACAAGACAAGAAUCCACAAUAAUAAGUUACAUUAAAUGUUGAAAUAAAAAUUACUUUUUGUUUACAUCUGGAAUUGAGAUGGCCCAUCUUCAUUGUUUCUCCAGAGUACUAAGAGGGGGAAAAAAUCACCUAAAAACAUGGGAAGUUUUUUAAGGCUA